rnacentral:rRNA from 1 species
CCUACGGGAGGCAGCAGUGGGGAAUAUUGCUCAAUGGGCGAAAGCCUGACGCAGCGACGCCGCGUGAGGGAUGAAUGUCUUCGGAUCGUAAACCUCUUUCAGCAGAGAAGAACGGUCACUGUGCUAAUCAGCAGUGAAUUCACGGUACCUGCACAGGAAGCACCGGCUAACUCCGUGCCCGCAGCAGCGGUAAUACGGAGGGUGCGCGCGUUAAUCGGAAUUACUGGGCGUAAAGCGCUCGUAGGCGGUAGGUCAAGUCAAGGGGGAAAUCCCCGCGCGCAACGUGGGAACUGCCUUUGAAACUGGCAAACUGGAGUGUGUGAGAGGAUAGUGGAAUUCCAGGUGUAGGAGUGAAAUCCGUAGAUAUCUGGCGGAACAUCAGUGGCGAAGGCGACUAUCUGGCACAUAACUGACGCGGAGGAGCGAAAGCGUGGGUAGCAAACAGGAUUAGAUACCCCAGUAGUC